GCAACAAAUAUCUUAGCUCUUUCAUCAAUGAAAAACAUAGCAAAAUGUGAUGAUUGGUGUGAAUUAUAGAAUUUAUGAACGAUCGAGUUUUGAAAUUGUUGAGAGGGAAACAUAUGAGGGUUGGUAGUAUGCCCUAAUCGAAUGUGGAAUGGUGAGAGUCGGUCCGUCGAUCGAUUUGGGGUGAAGAUCGAUAUGGGUCGCAGUGGUAACCCAAGCUUAAGCUUUUGAUAUGCUCAUAAAGACAUCAUUGCUGUGAUCGUGCAAUGCAGCACAUGUCAUUUUAGUGUGCCUUAGCACUCGCGUGCUCCCGGUAUCAACUUGCUAACUCUCCAUCUGACUAGUCUUGAAACACGAACCAAAAAGUUUGGCAUGUGUGUGAGUCAAAGGGCUAAAAAAUUGAUAAGGCAUAAUGAUGCUAAUUGGUGAGAUCCCUCAUGAGCGCACUGUCAAUCGAUCUUGAUCUUUUAAUAAGGGUUCGAGUAUAAGCAUGCCUAUUGGGACCCGAAAGAUGGUGAACUAUGCCUAAGCGGGGCAAAGUUAGAGGACACUCUGGUGGAGCCCUACAACGAUACUAACAUGCAAAUCGUUUGUCUAACUUGGAUAUAGGGGUGAAAGACUAAUCAAAUCAUCUAGUAGCUGGUUCUUUCAAAGUUUCCCACAGGAUAAUUAGAACCCUUAGUGAGUUCUAUUGGGUAAAGCCAAUGAUUAAAGGCAUAAAGGGCACAACACCUUCAACCUAUUCUCAAACUUUAAAUAGGUAGGAUAGUGCGAUUGCUUUGUUGAGCCGUGCCAUGGAAUUGAAAGCUCUAAGUGAGCCAUUUUUGGUAAGCAAAACUAGCGAUGCAAGAUGAAUUGGAAGUUAAGUUAAGGUGUUAAACUAUGGUUAACCUAGAACCCAUAAAGCAUGUUGGUCAAUUAAGACAGCAUGACGAUGGUCAUGAAAGUCAAAAUUUGUUAAGAAGUGUGUAACAACCCAUUUACUGAAUCAACUAGCCUUGAAAAUAGAUUACACUUAAGUGCAUGACCAAUACCUGAUCGUCGAGGUAAGGGCUAAGCCUCGAUGAGUGGGAAGGCAUGGUAGUCAUUGUAAAACUUAAGAUCUAAACCCAAGCAAAGUGACUAUUGGUGCAGUUCUUGGUGAAGUAGCAAAUAUUCAAAUAAGAACUUUAAAGGCUAAAAAAAAGAAAGGUUCCAUGUGAACGACCCUUGCACAUGGGGUAGUCGAUCCUAAGAGAUAGGAAAGCCUAUUUGAUAGUGCAUCCAACGUAAGCUUCAAAAGAGAAUCGGGUUAAAAUUCUUGAACUGAGACACAAUGGUAGAUGGCAACAUUAAAAAGUUUAGAGAUGUUGACGAGGCUUUAAGAAGAGUUAUCUUUUUUGUUUAAUGGCCUACUCACCCUGAAAAUGGCUUAGUUGAAGGUAAGGUCUAGUAGUUAGAAAAACAUUACACGUUAUGUGGUGUUUAAUGCACCUUGAUGACCUUUGAAAAUCUAGAGGAUUAAGUGCCGUAUGUUCUUGAUCAUACUCAUAAUUGCAUUAGGUCUCCAAAGUGAAUAGCUUUUAGUCGAUGAAACAAUACAAGUAAGGGAACUCCCCAAAAUGGAUCUAUAACCUCAAAAAAAAAGAUUGGCUUUAAGGGUUAGACAUGGGGGUCCUAAUCUUGAACCCAUUGAUAAAUGGUGCACUGCUUGAACUAUACCCAUGGCGAGAGUGGCUCUCCACUUGUCAAUUAGAGGAUAAAUUGGGAAUGGCUCCCUCAAAGGCCUUCUUUAAGUGAUGAAUAGUUGACUCAGAACUAGCAUAGAUAAGGGGAAUCUGAUUAUUUAAUUAAAAGAAAACAUUACAAUGGUCCCUAUAGAUGUUUAUGCAAUGUGAUUUCUACCAAGUGCUCCGAAUGUCAAAGUGAAGAAAUUCAACUAAGUGCGGGUAAAUGGCAGAAGUGACUAUGACUCACUUAUAGUGGCCUCAUCAUCUAAUUAGAGAUGCACAUGAAUAGAUUAAUGAAAUUCCCACUAUGUUUAUCUACUAUCCAACAAAACCACAACCAAAAGAAAGGGCUUGGCAAAAUCAAUGAGGAAAGAAAACCCUAUUGAGCUUGACUCUAGUCUGACUUUGCGAAAUAACUUAAGAGGUAUAGGAUAAGUGAGAACCCUCAAUCGAAAUUGAAGUACCACUACUUUUAAUGUUAUUUUACUUAUUUCAUGAAUUGAAGGUAGGGCAUGAUCCCUUUUUUAGACCUAAAGCCUACCUCGGUCGGUUGAUUUGGGCGAAAGACAUUGUCAGGUAGGGAGUUUGGCUGGGGUGGCACAUUUGUUAAAAGAUAAUAUAGGUGUCCUAAGAUAUGCUCAAUGAGAAUAAAAAUUUCAUGUGGAAUAAAAGGGUAAAAGCUCAUUUAAUUUUAAUUUUUAGUAUAAAUAUGAACUAUGAAAACGUGGCCAAUUAAUUAGUUAGACCUUCAAAAUUUGAAGCUAGAGGUGUUAGAAAAGUUACCAUAGGGAUAACUAGCUUGUGGUAACCAAGCAUUCAUCGUAACAUCGCUUUUUGAUCUUUCAAUGUUAGCUUUUUUUAUCAUUGUGAAGUAAAAUUCACCAAGUGUUGGAUUAUUCACCCACUAAUAAAGAACAUGAGCUGGGUUUAGGCUAUCAUGAGAUAGGUUAGUUUUACCUUACUGAUGGUAGCAUCGUAACAGUAAUUUAACCUAGUAUGAGAGGAACCAUUGGUUCAUAUAAUUAGACAUUAUGCUUGGUUGGAAAGGUGGCGACGUAAAGCUAUCGUGUGCUGGAUUAUGACUGAAUGCCUCCAAGUUAGAAUAUGGGCUAAAAGCGAUGCAGGUGCCUAC
rnacentral:rRNA from 1 species